rnacentral:rRNA from 1 species
UAUACCGUGAAACUGCGAAUGGCUCAUUAAAUCAGUUAUCGUUUAUUUGAUAGUACCUUACUACUUGGAUAACCGUGGUAAUUCUAGAGCUAAUACAUGCUGAAAACCCCAACUUCGGAAGGGGUGUAUUUAUUAGAUAAAAAACCAAUGCCCUUCGGGGCUUCUUGGUGAUUCAUGAUAACUAAACGGAUCGCAUGGCCUUGCGCCGGCGACGGUUCAUUCAAAUUUCUGCCCUAUCAACUUUCGAUGGUAAGGUAUUGGCUUACCAUGGUUUCAACGGGUAACGGGGAAUUAGGGUUCGAUUCCGGAGAGGGAGCCUGAGAAACGGCUACCACAUCCAAGGAAGGCAGCAGGCGCGCAAAUUACCCAAUCCCGACACGGGGAGGUAGUGACAAUAAAUACUGAUACAGGGCUCUUUUGGGUCUUGUAAUUGGAAUGAGUACAAUUUAAACCUCUUAACGAGGAACAAUUGGAGGGCAAGUCUGGUCAGGCCAGCAGCCGCGGUAAUUCCAGCUCCAAUAGCGUAUAUUAAAGUUGUUGCAGUUAAAAAGCUCGUAGUUGAACCUUGGGCCUGGCUGGCAGGUCCGCCUCACCGCGUGUACUUGACCGGCCGGGCCUUUCCUUCUGGAGAACCUCAUGCCCUUCACUGGGUGUGCUGGGGAACCAGGACUUUUACUUUGAAAAAAUUAGAGUGUUCAAAGCAGGCCUUUGCUCGAAUACGUUAGCAUGGAAUAAUAGAAUAGGACGUGCGGUCCUAUUUUGUUGGUUUCUAGGACCGCCGUAAUGAUUAAUAGGGACAGUCGGGGGCAUCAGUAUUCAAUUGUCAGAGGUGAAAUUCUUGGAUUUAUUGAAGACUAACUACUGCGAAAGCAUUUGCCAAGGAUGUUUUCAUUAAUCAGUGAACGAAAGUUAGGGGAUCGAAGACGAUCAGAUACCGUCGUAGUCUUAACCGUAAACUAUGCCGACUAGGGAUCGGGCGAUGUUCUCAUUUUGACUCGCUCGGCACCUUACGAGAAAUCAAAGUUUUU